AGUGAACGCUGGCGGUAGGCCUAACACAUGCAAGUCGAACGGCAGCACAGUAAGAGCUUGCUCUUACGGGUGGCGAGUGGCGGACGGGUGAGGAAUACAUCGGAAUCUACUUUUUCGUGGGGGAUAACGUAGGGAAACUUACGCUAAUACCGCAUACGACCUCCGGGUGAAAGCCGGGGAUCUUUGGACCUUGCGCGAUUGAAUGAGCCGAUGUCGGAUUAGAUAGUUGGCGGGGUAAAGGCCCACCAAGGCGACGAUCCGUAGCUGGUCUGAGAGGAUGAUCAGCCACACUGGAACUGAGACACGGUCCAGACUCCUACGGGAGGCAGCAGUGGGGAAUAUUGGACAAUGGGCGCAAGCCUGAUCCAGCCAUACCGCGUGGGUGAAGAAGGCCUUCGGGUUGGAAAGCCCUUUUGUUGGGAAAGAAAAGCAGCAGGUUAAUACCCCGCUGUUCUGACGGUACCCAAAGAAUAAGCACCGGCUAACUUCGUG
rnacentral:rRNA from 1 species